AUCGCUGUCAGGUCGUGUUAUACCCAACCACAGAUUGCGUAAUUACUAUCAGUUUACUCUAUUUGCCAGAGCUCCGGGAAUCUGGAAUAAUAUCAUUGCUAGUAAAAUACCCGACAUUCAUGAUGUUCCAUUGAACUCCACCAGCCCGCGGCGUUGACAGCUAGUUGCGCCGCCCAUCAUCGGCACUCCAACCGGCGACCUGAUGUGGCCGGGUCUCCGCCGCUGCGGCGCUGGCGCCCCGGUGACUGUUCCGCUGCGGCGCUGGCGAUCCGAGAGUCCCGCUGCGGCGCCGGCAGUCCGGGAGUGCACCACUGCAGCACUGACAGCCCGUGGUGCUGAGCCACUGCAUCGCCUGCAGCGCGGGCGUUGUACCACUGCAGGUACUGCAGCACCGGCGGCGGCGCCGUCAACGCGAGGGUUGCACCACUGCAUAACCAGCAGCCCGUCAACUGUAUCACUGCAGUACCGUCAGCCGUGGGGCUGAACCGCCGCAACACCGACUGCCUGAAGGAUCCAUCGCCGCUGCGCUGGCGGCCCGAAGGCUGUACCGUCGUGUCACCGUCAGCUCGAGGGCUGUGC